GGCUUAGAGUUUGAUCAUGGCUCAGAUUGAACGCUGGCGGCAGGCCUAACACAUGCAAGUCGGACGGUAGCACAGAGGAGCUUGCUCCUCGGGUGACGAGUGGCGGACGGGUGAGUAAUGUCUGGGGAUCUGCCCGAUAGAGGGGGAUAACCACUGGAAACGGUGGCUAAUACCGCAUAACGUCGCAAGACCAAAGAGGGGGACCUUCGGGCCUCUCACUAUCAGAUGAACCCAGAUGGGAUUAGCUAGUAGGCGGGGUAACGGCCCACCUAGGCGACGAUCCCUAGCUGGUCUGAGAGGAUGACCAGCCACACUGGAACUGAGACACGGUCCAGACUCCUACGGGAGGCAGCAGUGGGGAAUAUUGCACAAUGGGCGCAAGCCUGAUGCAGCCAUGCCGCGUGUAUGAAGAAGGCCUUCGGGUUGUAAAGUACUUUCAGCGGGGAGGAAGGCAGUGAGGU
rnacentral:rRNA from 1 species